rnacentral:rRNA from 1 species
UACGGAGGGUGCAAGCGUUAUCCGGAUUUACUGGGUUUAAAGGGUGCGUAGGUGGGCAGGUAAGUCAGUGGUGAAAUCUCUGGGCUUAACCCAGAAACUGCCGUUGAUACUAUCUGUCUUGAAUAUAGUGGAGGUGAGCGGAAUAUGUCAUGUAGCGGUGAAAUGCUUAGAUAUGACAUAGAACACCCAUUGCGAAGGCAGCUCGCUACACUAUUAUUGACACUGAGGCACGAAAGCGUGGGGAUCAAACAGG